UCAGAAUCUCCACCCUGCCUUGUGCAGAUGCCUCCUCCUCUCCCCCUUCCGUACCCCCCAUGUAUGAAGCAGCUCAAGGCCCUCACCAGCAAGGCUGAGGAUUGAACCAGAGCCUUAGCACACACUGGGUUUUCCAGGUUUUGCUUAUAAAUCAAGAUGAGGCGGUAGAUAGAGUCAUGGAAAAAGACAGAAGAAAACAGACAAGUCAGCUGCCUGUAUGACGGCCUCUGAUUCCAUAGUGACCAUGAAGUGGAAGUGUUCAACACUGAUCUGCUGAGAAGCUUAGAAAGAUGUAGGCGCCACAAAGGAUGUAAACAGCAGGUGUGGACUACCGUGAUCUCCUGAAAAUCCUUUUCAGACACCUUGAACCCAGCAGUACUUGGAGAAGAGGAUUUGGACGAAACCGAGCUACAGCUUCAC